rnacentral:rRNA from 1 species
UACGAAGGGGGCUAGCGUUGCUCGGAAUCAUUGGGCGUAAAGCGCGUGUAGGCGGCUCGGUAAGUCCGCUCUGAAAGUCCAGGGCUCAACCCUGGGAUGCGGGUGGAUACUGCCGGGCUCGAGUCCGGAAGAGGCGAGUGGAAUUCCCGGUGUAGCGGUGAAAUGCGCAGAUAUCAGGAAGAACACCCGUGGCGAAGGCGGUUCUCUGGGACGGUACUGACGCUGAGACGCGAAAGCGUGGGGAGCGAACAGG